rnacentral:rRNA from 1 species
UCGCAAGAGGGAUCUAUGGUUAGUGGCGCACGGGUGAGUAACGCGUAGGUAAUCUGCCUUCAGGGCCGGAACAACCAUUGGAAACGAUGGCUAAUGCCGGAUAAGACCACGUAUAGCAAUGUAUGGGGUAAAAGGAGUAAUUCACCUGGAGAUGAGCCUGCGUCCUAUCAGGUAGUUGGUAAGGUAAUGGCUUACCAAGCCUAAGACGGGUAGCCGGUCUGAGAGGAUGAACGGCCACACUGGAACUGAGACACGGUCCAGACUCCUACGGGAGGCAGCAGUGAGGAAUUUUGCGCAAUGGGGGAAACCCUGACGCAGCGACGCCGCGUGGAGGAAGAAGGCCUUCGGGUUGUAAGCUCCUUUUGUAGGGAAAGAUGAUGACGGUACCUUACGAAUAAGCCACGGCUAACUCUGUGCCAGCAGCCGCGGUAAGACAGAGGUGGCAAGCGUUGCUCGGAAUUACUGGGCUUAAAGGGUGCGUAGGCGGUUAGAUAAG